rfam:Schistosoma haematobium scaffold272_41, whole genome shotgun sequence.
UUUCAGUUGACAAGUCCCAAAUAGGACGAGAAGCGCGUCCUGGAA